GGUGGUCAGGGAGGGGAUUCUUUCACCUGUUCGCCAGGACAGCAGGGUCCACCCGGACCUCAGGUGAGGGGACGCCAGGGGCAGGCCGUGUGCAUCUUGUGCCGUGUUCCUAUUGGUUCACUCUGCCCGAUACACUGCACUAUUUGGGCCAUCACUAUUUUGUACUUGCUGUUCAAAAUUUGAGUGUACAAUUCCGGUUUGCUAUAUAGUGCACAACUAAAUACACAUAAUGCACAUAAUGCACUGUAAAAAAAUAAAGCACUUAUUUCCACAAUGUAUAUCCCAUGAUGCAUAGCGCUUUUCAUCUUCAUCUGAAUCAUGUUGUAGGCAGAGGGACAUUGGUGCUUCUUUGACUUCUGUUCUUGGUUAAUCAAAUUGGGUCUGGGAUUAAUAAAGUUCCUCCUGUAUUAUUUCUAGUGUUGUUUCUCUCUGUGAUCUUACUGAUUGUCUACCGUGUUGUGGUUUUAGGGUCCUGCUGGUAUCGGUGGUCUGCCUGUAAGUAAUACAGCCCCUCAAAGCCAGGGAUCUUCUCGAUGUCUUCUGUUGUUUUGAUACACUGAUUGUCCCUCCAUGAAUGUUACUAUUGCAUCCUUUUAAACAUCCUUAGAUUAUAAUAAAACAUUUUUUUCUACAUUCUCCUCAUCUUCUCUCUCUUAUACUCCCCUUCCAUUCAAAAUUCACCACUCCGACCUCUCCCCCUCCUCCCUCUAUUCUCCUCCUCCUACAUCCUCCUCCUCAUCUCCUCUCUCUACUAUUCCCCUUCCUCUUCUUAAUUUUCUCUACCUCCUCCUCCUCCCCCUCUCCUCCUCCCCAAAACUCCUCUUCCUCGCUCCUCCUCCUCUUCCUGCUCUCCAUUCUCCUCCUAUCUCUCCUCUCUCACCCCUUCCUCCUCCCUAUCCUCCUCCCCCUCUCCCUCCUCUCUCUCCUCCUCUACCUCUUCCUCCUCCCCCUCCUCCUCCUCCUCCCCCUACUCCUCCUCCUCUCUCCUCCUUCUCCGCCUCUCCUUCUCCUCCCCCUCGCUCUCCUCUCUCUCCUCCUCCUCCUCCUCCUCCUCCUCCCCCCUUCCUUCUCCUCCUCCUCCUCCAGGGGAGGGCUGGGUUCCCAGGUAUACCUGGAGAUAAAGGUGCUGAGGGGUCCAGAGGUCGUGAUGGGAUUCCUGGCCUCGACGGUCCACCAGGCAGACUGGGCGAUAAGGGAGAGAGUGGAGAAAGAGGAGAAAGGGGUCUCCCAGGGAGAGAGGGAGGGCCCCCUGGACCCCCCGGCACCCCCGGGGCCCCGGGACAGAUCCUCUACCAGCCGUCAAGUGACGUGAGUAACACAUUGAGAGACCCUUAGACAGCGAGGAGCUGUUAGUUCAAAUUGAACUUAACAAAGAUUGGUCUGAUCUCACUCUCACUCACUCCCUCCCUCAGCCACUCUCGCUCACUCGCUCACUCACUCACUCACUCACUCACUCACUCACUCACUCACUCACUCACUCACUCACUCACUCACUCACUCUCCCACCCACCCACCCUCACUCAUUCACUCACCCACUCUCAUUUAUUCACUCACCUAAACUCUCUCUCUCUCAGUUCCUCACCCACCCUCACUCUCACUAUCUCACUCACUCAACCACUCAUUCAAUCUCUCUCUGUCACCAACCCACACUCACUCAUUCAAUCAUCUAUUCUCUCUCCCUCACUCACCCAGUCCUAAAUCCACUCACUCUCCAACUCACUGCUUACCUUACUUAACCAUAAAUCCACUCACUGACUCACUCAGUAAUUGAAUGUUAACUUGCAUGUUGCCACCUGCUCACUAACUGGCCUAACUUUCUCCCGCCAUAGUAUAACGACAUAUUUUGGAACGAAGAUGAUGAGGUGAGCGAGCACACACUCGGUGUUCCUAUCAUGUUUUAAAGACUGGUUGGGCUGGCCAAGUGUUUGGCAGUGAAAGCAUAUUUUAAUAUCUAUCUCACUUUUUAUGCACCGGUACUAUACAUUCAAAUCAUGGAGAAUCAGAAUCAGAAUCACUUUGUUCUGUAGGCAUCUGUUCUUGAAUAAUGAGGAUUUGUUAGAUGUUUCACUAAUAGUUUUUAAUGUUCUUCUUGAAUGAUGAGGACUUAUGAGAUUUUUCCUAACAGUUCAUGUGUUCCUCUUGUUUAGGGAGGAGCUAGUUACCCAGGGCGACCAGGAUUCCCGGUACGUGUCGCCAUCUCCGCCAGUCAGAGAACAAUCAGAACAACAAUUUUUUGCAUUUUUACAGCAUGUGAUGUUUUUCACUUCAGGGGCCGAUCGGACCCAAGGGAGACCCCGGACAGCCAGGGAUCCCAGGAGAGGCGGCUAAGGUAGGCUCCUGACCUACUGUGUUUCUGAGCAGGGAUGAUCAUGUUCUAUAGCUUCAGCUUUGUUUGUUUUUUAUUAUUUGUUUUUUUGAGGACAUUAGAAGUGAA
ensembl:lncRNA